rnacentral:rRNA from 1 species
UCGAGAGUUUGAUCCUGGCUCAGGAUGAACGCUAGCGGCAGGCUUAACACAUGCAAGUCGAGGGGUAUAGUUCUUCGGAACUAGAGACCGGCGCACGGGUGCGUAACGCGUAUGCAAUCUACCUUUUGCAGAGGGAUAGCCCAGAGAAAUCUGGAUUAAUACCUCAUAGUAUGUGAGAAUCGCAUGGUUUUCACAUUAAAGUCACAACGGUAAAAGAUGAGCAUGCGUCCCAUUAGCUAGAUGGUAAGGUAACGGCUUAUCAUGGCAAC